UGGGGAAUAUUGGACAAUGGGCGGAAGCCUGAUCCAGCAACGCCGCGUGAGGGAUGACGGCCUUCGGGUUGUAAACCUCUUUCAGUACCGACGAAGCGAAAGUGACGGUAGGUACAGAAGAAGGACCGGCCAACUACGUGCCAGCAGCCGCGGUAAUACGUAGGGUCCGAGCGUUGUCCGGAAUUAUUGGGUCGUAAAUGGGCUACGGUNGGCGGUUUGUCGCGUCGGGAGUGAAAACAGCGGGCUUAACUCGUUGCUUGCUUUCGAUACGGGCAGACUAGAGGUAUGCAGGGGAGAAUGGAAUUCCUGGUGUAGCGGUGAAAUGCGCAGAUAUCAGGAGGAACACCGGUGGCGAAGGCGGUUCUCUGGGCAUUACCUGACGCUGAGGAGCGAAAGUGUGGGGAGCGAACAGGAUUAGAUAA
rnacentral:rRNA from 1 species